rnacentral:rRNA from 1 species
GACGGAGGGUGCAAGCGUUGUUCGGAUUGACUGGGCGUAAAGGGCGUGUAGGCGGUUGGUCAAGUCCGAUGUGAAAGCCCGGGGCUCAGCUUCGGAAGGGCAUCGGAAACUAGCCGGCUGGAGCGCGAUAGAGGAGGGCGGAAUUCCUGGUGUAGCGGUGAAAUGCGUAGAUAUCAGGAGGAACACCGGCGGCGAAGGCGGCCCUCUGGAUCGUUGCUGACGCUGAGACGCGAAAGCGUGGGGAGCAAACAGG